CACAGCGAGCAUGGGACCAUGACCUUCUGCUUCCAUCCCAGGCCCUGCCUCUGGCCACAGAGGAGGCCCAGAGCAGGCUUGGAGCCAGCAGGGGACAGAAGCGUCUAGAUGAAGCCAUUCCAGAAGCAGCACAGAAGCAGAAGCAGGGGAGAGAGGAGUGAAGACCAGAGAACCAGCAGGAGAGGACCCGGAGGAAGACCAAAGCCAGAGCCAGCUCCGUCCCGGAGAGGGGGUCUCGCUAUGUAGCCCAGGCUGGCCUUGAAUUCAUGGAGAUCCUCCUGCCUUAGCCUCCUGAGUGCUGAGAUCACAGGCAUACACUACCGCACCUGGCUAUAUCAGCCUCAUUGUGAAGAGGAGCUGUCUGGAGAGGUCUGGGAUGGGGAAUAUGUUUUCAGGGGGAGCAAGAAUUGAGGUUUUGGGACAAGGGCAAUAAAGUCUUCCCAUGACCCACUCACUUCCCGUGGUCAGUGAGAGGAGCAGGAAGUGGGAGACCUGGGGCUGGGCCUGGGGAAGCCACCAAUCCCACCCCCUUCUUUAACAGUGUGGGGCCCAGGACUGCCAUGUUUGCAGUCCAGAGUUCUAACUCAGCUCCAAACCCAGGGUUAAUCACAUUGUCAGUUAGGGCCCCAGGGGGAAGUGAAGUCUACCCCGAGCCCCCAUGACAGGACACCCCGAAUCUCAGCAGGGUCUCAGUGGGUUCAGAGGAUUUAAACUGUGCUUCUCAGAGCCCACUGGUUCAGGGUCCAGGUGUGGGCCUGAUGGCUGCUGGGCCCUGCAAGAGAGACCUGUAGGAUUCAGAGCCCCCAGCUGGUGUCCACACCACUGACCUUCUCCAGGGUCUCAAUCCGCUGUUUCAGGAGCCGGUUCUCAGUCCGAAGCCUCUACGGGAGGAGGGAGACAGGUCAGAGUCCACCCCUCCAUUCCCCCACACACAUACCCCUCAUGUACUCACCACUGAGGUCCAGCUGGGUCCCCUAAGGGGCUAGUGCACCCUCAGGCAGGAUGGAGCCCAGGUCUUAUGUUCUGGAUCAGUGAUAUCAGAAAACAUGGCCCACUCCUGUUCAGUCACCCUUAAUGCGUUCAUGUGUGGAAUACUAUGCUGGCACAAAGAAGGAUAAAUUUGAAUUUGAUAAAUUUGUAGGAAAAUGGAUGCACCUUGAGACCGUACUAUUAAGUGAAAUAAAUCAGACACACAGGGUUAAAUAGUACAUGGUUUCUCAUAUAAUAACCCUAAAUUAUAAAUGAAGAGCAAAAUAAAAGAUAAUGGGAAAUAGGGAGACAUCUUUUGCAGAAGGGUGGGAACCAAGAAAUGAAGGGAGCAGGGAGGGGAAGGAGAUUAAAAAAGAGAAUUAAGACAUGUUGUUAUGCACAUGUAUCAACUCCCACACAGAGUGCAAUCAUUAUGUAUUGUAAACAUGUACUAAUAAAAAAUAAAAUUUAAAAAAAAACUUUAAGAAACCCACUGCUGGGCAUAGUGGUGCACACCUGCAAUCUCAGCACUCUGAGAGGCUGAGGCAGGAGGAUCUCAAGUCAGAGGCCAACCUGGGCAAUUUAGCAAGAACCUGUCUCAAAAAGGAAAAAAAAACAAAAAGGGCUGUGGAUGGAGCUCAUUGUGAAGACCCCCAGUGCAAAGAGUUCAGUUGCCAGUACCACAAAAGCCAAAGCAAAGCAAGCAACCAAACAAAACAUUUCGUAACAGCAGGGCAGGCUUCUGUGGCUGCUCUUGCCCGUGUCCUGUUGCAGUCUGCAGCCUUGCCCUUCUCAGAAGUCCCCUUCUAGUCGGUGCUCGGGGGCGUGUCAAGGGCAGAGGCCCCUGCAUCGUGGAGCAAGCUGCUGGGCCUUGCUCUGCUCCCAGCCCCAGGAGCCUCCUGCAGGAGCUGCUCUCUGAAUUUGGGCUCCCUGCUCUCCACAACUACACAUCUGUGACUCUGCGGGGCCUUCUUUGCCUUGGCCUUCCGAUCCAAACUGAGGGAUGUUGGGUAGGUAUUUGCAGUUUUAGGGAAGCGGGUGACAUUUACCUACACGUGGGAUCUAGUCUCUCCUGACCCCGCUGAUGGAGAAACAGUUUGGGUCAGUGGGUGAGGGUCUUGGCUCACUGUGGGUCACACAGAACAUUUCCCGUGUUACCUAUGAGGUGAAUUGGUGAAAUAUUUCAGGAAGCGGCUGUAGCCAGCGAAUCAUGAUGGUUGCAGACUGGCAUCAUGGGGGAAACUGAGUCAGCAUGGGGUAGGGCCUUGUCCCCACUUUCCCGCAUGGAGAGGUCAGAGCUGUUUCAGGCAUGGAUAGGGACCCCUGACCUCUGACCCCUGAGCUGCUCUGCCCUCUGGCCUCAACUAUCCUUAGAGCACCUGGACAGGCCCGGCCAGGAAGUCCUCUCUUUCCUCCUCAGCCCCAAAGAGGCAUGAGGCUAUACACUACUCACGGAUUUAAUUUUUUUUCUGUACAG
rnacentral:lncRNA from 1 species